rnacentral:lncRNA from 1 species
ACAUAACUCAGAACGGUUGGUGAUGCUUUUUGUCCUUUUGUGCGCACGGUAGAAACCGGAAGUACAAGAAAAAGCUACAGCACAACAAGACAAUUAAUUGAAGCGAAAUAAUAAAAACAAUAACUGUGACUGAAAAUGGAUAGUCAAAACCCAAAGUCAACUAGUAACGAUUCACGCUGCGUAUUUUUUAAUACAGAUUCAGAAGACUAUCGAUGCGUGGUGAUUUUAACAGUAAAACGAGCCACGGGAACCUUCUCCUUAGUAGGAUGCAUUUUCAUGCUGUUUGUGAUCUGGCUGCUUCGCAGGUAUCACUCUUUGGCUCAGAAGAUGAUUCUCAGCCUGACUGUAGCUGCCUUCUUCGAUAGCGUAGCAUAUGUCAUGGGUGAUUCACAUCCAGAGGCAUCGCUUUGUGACUUCCAGGCCUGCUGGCUAACUUACUUUGACUGGAGUGCCUUGGCCUGGGUUUGCCUCAUCACAGUGAACCUGUACCUCAACCUGGUCAGAGAAAUCAGCACCAACAGAUAUGAGAUGUUGUACCAUCUGUUGGCGUGGGGGGUGCCUCUGGUCAUGGCCUCUUUGCCACUGCUAAAGGGUUACUACGGCCCCGCAGGAGCCUGGUGCUGGAUCACAGACGAUCACGUAGCCUGGAGAUUUGGGAUAUGGUACGUGCCUCUGUUCAGCCUCAUCUUCCUGAUGAUCUGCUGCUACGCCAGGAUAAUCUGCGUGGCCAAUGCGAGGUCCGGCUGGCCGCGCGUGCAUGCGAUUCCUUGUGUGUGCGCGCCCCACUGGCUAGCUAAUGGCUGCCACUCUGCACUCUCCUCCGCGGUGGUGUUGCGGAGGCGUAGCGCCGACCCUCCGGUUCCCCCUCAGGACCGCUAGCUGCUAGCCGGUGGCUCAGCAAUCUCCAUGUUGUGUGGAGACAAUCCCAGCAGAGACUCUGAAUCAUAGAUAUGCUCCACCAUUCACGUGUUCCAGCUACUCAGAUAAGUCCAUUUGU